rnacentral:misc_RNA from 1 species
AUUUUCAAAGAAAUAGAAAUCAAGAAUGAUUGUGUGAUUUUCUUGUAAAUGAUUUAUUCCAAACGAAGCCAUUGGGAACACUUAGUGCUAAUUGUUGUCUUUUUUUAUAUUUUAUUAUAGUGGAAGCAAUGAGUAUUCUUUGAGCUUUAUACUUCUCGUUUGAUGAAAGUUCGUGUCCAUAUUUAAAAAUCAGCAAUACUGCUGCCUAUAUUUGCUCCAGUACUACUGCUUUGAAAACUUUUUUUUCCUGAUAUUUUUAGCAAUGAAACUUCAUAGUUCAACUGGAAGUUGGUAUGUUCUAAAUAAUGAAAUUCUAUGUUGAAGUUGAAGUUAGGGAAGAGCUGGAAAUUUUCAUGUUUGUUUAAAUUACAUUUCUUUUGGUGCAUUGUUGAUUAAUUUUGACGAGUUAUGUGAGGUAAUCGUGGAAUUUGCUGGCUCCUCUUAUUUGUAUGUAGAACAAUUUUUGGCUUAUAAAUUAUAGCUAGUUUAAUAUAGACUACAAUGGUUUUUUUAAUCUUUUUUCUACAGCAAAAAAGUUUCAUUGCCGCAGAAUCCUUGGGAUUGACAUUGACCCUGGUAAGACUCUUGUUAAGAGUCCAUCAUCAAAUAAAGAUUCUAAUUUAAAUUGUGGUUGCACUUAGUAAAAGUUAAAUAUGCUUUUGUUGUUUGAAAAUGUUUAGUAUUUUGGGAAAAACUUUUUCUCUUUUUUGGUUCGCAUUGUUCCAUGUAAAUUUUGAACAGAUUGGCUCAGAUAAUGCGCAUACUAACAUUUCUUAUGCUAAUUUUGUGUAUUUGUUUAUUUCCAGAUCGAAUUUCAGAUGCAUAUUGGCACUUGAGAAAAUUUGUGAGAGUUGAACAUGUUGGGAAGAGUAGUACAAAGGCUUCCACAGUGGAGGUCACAGAGAAGGCAAAUGAUUCAGAGCACUGUACAACUUCAUCAUCAGCUAAAGAAAAGGAGGUUGCAAAGGACGGUUUGCAUUCUGCGGAAAGAGAUCUAUUUGAUAUAGUUUCUUUCCGAAAAGAGAAUUUUGUUCAAAGUUGGUGUCGGCCAGAGGAGCACUAUGAUACAAUUCUUUGCUUGAGUGUGACAAAGUGGAUUCAUUUGAACUGGGGUGACGAUGGACUGAUUACUUUGUUUUCAAAAAUAUGGAGGCUUCUUCGUCCGGGUGGUAUUCUAGUGCUGGAACCUCAACCUUGGCGUUCAUAUGAAAAUAAUCAUCUCGUUUCUGAGACAACUGCAAAGAAUUAUCGAUCUAUCAUAUUCCGUCCCAAAUGUUUCAAGGAAAUUCUUUUGGACAAGAUCGGAUUUAGAAAGGUGGAGGAAGUCACUUCAGCCUUGACAGGCAGCAAAGUUGGAUUUGAUAGGCCAAUUUUUGCAUACCACAAAUGACUAACCCGUUGAAAGCUGCUCUAUAAAAUAUUACAUUUGUGCGAUACGGUUGGAAGCAGCAUGUUUGACGACCUGAAUGCAAAUAUUAGUGAGCUUACAAAUUUGAGGGGCAUUUCUACUGCAAUUUUGUAUUUUUGGCCGGGGAGAUUAUUCGAAAUUUCUGUUUACACUGCUAAUUUAUGCGCAAAAAGUGUAAAUUUAUCCUUCUCCACCCACAUCAAUUUGAUGGACCUGAUAAAUUAGUAUGAUGUAAAGAAUGUCCGUAUGUUUCUGAGGUUUGGCAAAUCUGAAUGUUAACAGAAGAUUAACAGAAGAGUGAAGCAGAGGCUUCCGUGCUCAAUUGAAUGAAACCUAAGAAAUUAUGUUACAGAAGCCAUCUGCAUGGAACGGCGCAUCCAGUUAUCCAUGUAGGAAGUUCAUCCCACAUCAUGCAAGUACAGAAGAUUCUAAUUAAUCACAGUGAACAAUCACAAGAGACCUUUGCAUUCAAGUAAACGAGAUCAUGUCUUACUAAAUUCUGACUAUUGUGUUCGCCUUUGUAGAUGCCCAGUUAUCAAAUUCAAGUUGCAUAUUUAAUACAUGCUCCAUUGAAAUAGCAACAACUCGAAAUAGCAAACCUUAGCCCUGCAACAUACAACUAAUGCGUAGCAAUUAGCAGUCGCAUCUACCCAAAGCUCAAUUUCCAUAUCUGAUUUUCUCUCAAGCAUGAACAAAUGCACACCAUUCAAUGGUCAAAUCCCUAGUUUCCAGUGGCUACCAUCUCCGACUAGAUCACUGACACAGCAACCAUGAAUCAUAGCGGCUAAUAUCACAAGCAACAAGGAGAAGAAACUGAUCCCAAGAAAGUAAAAGUGAAUCAAAAUUAUCCGUACGGAGAGGAGCUCCAGUGGAUAGAUGAGAUGCAGAACACCAUUAGCAGCCUGCCUUAUCAUAGGUGGAGCGCAUUAAUCACUGGUAGUAAGUCCAAAUGGAGUAUGGACUUUGUCCCAAACUCCGGCAGUAUCCUACUCUUUAACAUUGUCAUGUAGAGGGCUGAGAUCAAAGCACUAACAAAGCUAAAAUUUCCCAGUAGAGAGCGAUCAUCACACUAAUAAAGUAUAUUGAGAUCAUCAAAGCAUGACUGAAGGCCUCAUUAUGGAAUUCCAAUCAAGUACAUUGAGAAAUGACAAGUUGACAACAGACUGCUGAUACAGCUACCAUGAUAUUCAUUACAAGUGGCUAAGGAUUCCAAGUCUAGACUAACCAUCAUACCAAACAAUAUAACAUGCUCUGAAGUCUCAUAACAGAAUUCUUGAAGUACAUAAGUAACUACUCAAGCACAGAACUGAAUGAAAUCCCAGACUGCCAUGCUUUCAGAAGUCCAAUUAUUUCACUUACGUGACAAAACUAGUGCUUGAAGACAUCUUCAAAGAACAAUGUCAACUGAUCCACACUGAAGAUAACUUCACAAAUAUCUGCAGAAUAUCACCCGAUGGCAAGUAAUUUCCUUGGUAAGCUAAUGAAUAAUCCAAAUAAAUGAAGGAAGAUCUCACUACUCAUUCCCCCAUCCAGCAACAAUCACAAGCAGCUGCAAAUCAAAUCACACGAUUACCAAAAUAAUGUUGCUUACUUGAAUUUUGCAGUAUCAUCAGACAAACAAGCUUGAAUGGUAAUUCUUCAUCUUAAGUUCUUGGCUGCAUAACACAGAGGCUAACUUCUACUUUGAAUAACCAAUUCCACAGUUUCUCAUUAAACCAAGUAUGCAAUAGUCAAUACAACUGCGCGCACACACACGGGCAACCAGCAGAAUUUUGAAAACACAUAAAACAAUGGCACCAAAAUUAGUAUCAUUUUAACACCUUUUUCCCUGUUGAUAUUUAGGCAGCGACUUCCUAGAUGAGCAGCCAUCGACAAUCCAGAACUAUAGGUAUUAUGGACUUCAAAUGCCAUCCCUGCAUGAUAGCCCCCUGUUAUAUUCGUUCCAUCAAACAAUGCUGUAGGAGAAAAAGAAUCCAUGCUAAUCACUUUGCAGAAUGAAUGCGUUGUAAUGAUGAAAUCCAGCUACUUGAAGGGCCAAUUUUGCUGCUGUUUCCUUGAGCAGGAUUUGCAGGUUCAGUGGGCAAAACAGGCUUUGGGGCAUUUCUUUUUGAGGUCCCAGCAAGUGAAAAGGAAGUGGAAGGGAUGUGUGCAUCAGUUACAGUCUACAAAAUAAAAACUUCAGGCCACUGGUUUUCUGUAGUUUUGAUGAAUUGCAAUUUGGCAUUAUAAAGCAGAAAUGGCAUUACAUAUUCCAAGGUCGCAACAAAAACUCCACAAGAAAAUAAACUUUUCUUCAAGAAAAAAUCAUCUUCAACUGACGACAUAUUUGUAAAUAGAAGUGAAAUUCUGGAAUCUAACAAUCAUAUGCUCUUCCUCAAUUGGAAACAUAGCAAGACUUACAUUCUUAUCAACAUGAUUGUCAGAGCUCAAAUUCUUGCCCAUUGCUGAUUUGAAUUGCAUGCGUACACCAGGACCAUUAGAUCUCAUGAUGUCAGAGGAAUAUUGAGCAUUAUUGCUUCCUGCAAUUUAGAAUGAGUCAUUAAUUUCUUUUUUAAAUAAUAGUGACAAUGAUGAUCAAAAUUUAGCAUUCAACAAAGAUCCAUGCAUAUGUGCUUCAGAAUUGUUAGGCUUGUUCCAAAACCUUCUUUCCCAUACAGCUUUGGUAACCUUAAUGUCACACCAAUGUCAAAAACCCACAGCCUGGAAAUUAAAUAUACGAGUAAUUGCUGAGUUCUGGAAAAGGCAACAUCAUUCUCAUUCAACCAUCCAAUUAUAAAAAGUUAACAAUUAACUAAUAUAUGCUUAUAUCCCCACAAUCAAGGUGAAGUACUUGGUCUGUUUUCCAGAGAAAGGUAACACCAACAUAAGAAAAAGAAAGUACAUCUCUCCCAUUCGUGAUCCUAUCCCACACCUGAACGCCACUGAUGUUUUAUUUAAGCACUACCAAUACUGUGAAAUUUACUUCAUUAUCAACUUAUAAGAAGUUUGAAUACAGAAAGUACAACCAAAUUUAAAUUUCAAAUAAUAUUGUCUCAGCAGUAAACUUAUUUAACUUCUGAGACUUUUACUUCUACUUGCGAGCAAGUUAAUCAAAUUACAAGAUUCACUCGUUGAAAUUCACAUAGUGCAUUAGCAGCAUCUAACCUUGAGGGUUCUCCAUAUCUGUUGGCACUAUAUGGCUACUACUUGCACCAGGAACUGGCUGUAACAUGUAAAGAUUCAACCUUGUUAUAAUUAAUGCUAAAAUAUCAGUUUUAAACCAUAAAAAGUACAAAAUUGUUUACAAUGGAAGCUCAUAGAGCUAAAAAAUGGAUACCAAAUGCAAUCUUGGAAGUGACAGCAAAAAACAAAUAUAUAUUAUUGACAAAAGGCGGCUCGCCAUGGAGGAAGAAAAUAAAGUAACAAAAGAUGCAAAGAUACUAACAGAUGAACGAGGUUGACUUCUACUCUUUUGUGCCUGCUGAUAUUUUAUGAUAGUCCAAUCAAAUACAUAAUCAAAUUCAUAUCCUUCACGGGCAAAGAGAUCGCGAAACAGGCGCUUCAAGAAUCCAUAAUCAGGACGCUGCUCAAAUGUCAGUGAGUGACAGUAAUGUAGGUAUGAUGCAAACUCCACUGAAUGAGAUUUGCAUAGAACCUCAAUAGGAGUUGAUAAUUUCUUUUCGCAAAUUUUGUCAUAUUUCUGCUUCUUUGUGGCAGCUUUCAAACCCUGCCACGGAAGGCUUCCUCUAAGAAAAUAUAACAGUACAUAGCCAAGUGACUCCAAAUCAUCACGCCGGCUUUGCUCAAUUCCAAGGUGAGUAUUGCAACUUGCAUAUCGUGCAGUUCCUGUCAAGUUUUUGUUCUCCCUGUAAGGAAUAUGGCGAUUGGUUGUGGCAUCUCGAUAUCUUUUUGCAAGGCCAAAAUCAAUUAUGUAAACCUGAUUCGCUUUCCGACCAAGUCCCAUGAGGAAGUUAUCAGGUUUGAUGUCUCUAUGAAGAAAUCCUUUAGAGUGCACGUAUUCUAUCCUUGUAAUCAUUUGAUCAGCUAACAUCAAAACUGUCUUGAGCGAGAACUUCCUCCCACAGUAUACAAACAGGUCCUCAAGGCUUGGCCCCAGCAAAUCAAGGACCAGUACAUUGUCCUCCCCAUCAAGACCAGACCAUCUUGUGCCAGGAAUACCACUGCCUCCUUGAAGAAGAUUGUACAAUUUUGCUUCAUAAAGCAAUUGCGGGUGCUUUGUUUUACUGUUCUCGAUCUUAACAGCAACGAUCUCAAACGUAUCGAUAUGAGUAGCGAGAAAGAUUUCACCAAACGAUCCACUGCCGAUUUUCCUGCCGAGCUUGUACUUGCCGCCGACGAUCCGUUCCAUGAGCUCUCAAUCUGCUGGUAUGAAUCGAUGGACUAGAUCGAAUCUAAGGACCAUGAAAGAAAAAGAGGAACAUAUAUAAGGAUCGUUUAUGAUCUAGUAGGAAUUGGAGUGAGAUUGACGAGAAACAGAAACAGACUUGGGCAACAGGCGAUGAGACGAGGAAAAGAAGACGUGGCUG